UUUGAUCAUGGCUCAGAUUGAACGCUGGCGGCAGGCUUAACACAUGCAAGUCGAGCGGGGGAAGGUAGCUUGCUACUGGACCUAGCGGCGGACGGGUGAGUAAUGCUUAGGAAUCUGCCUAUUAGUGGGGGACAACAUCUCGAAAGGGAUGCUAAUACCGCAUACGUCCUACGGGAGAAAGCAGGGGAUCUUCGGACCUUGCGCUAAUAGAUGAGCCUAAGUCGGAUUAGCUAGUUGGUGGGGUAAAGGCCUACCAAGGCGACGAUCUGUAGCGGGUCUGAGAGGAUGAUCCGCCACACUGGGACUGAGACACGGCCCAGACUCCUACGGGAGGCAGCAGUGGGGAAUAUUGGACAAUGGGGGGAACCCUGAUCCAGCCAUGCCGCGUGUGUGAAGAAGGCCUUAUG
rnacentral:rRNA from 1 species